rnacentral:rRNA from 1 species
AGUGAACGCUGGCGGUAGGCCUAACACAUGCAAGUCGAACGGCAGCACAGUAAGAGCUUGCUCUUACGGGUGGCGAGUGGCGGACGGGUGAGGAAUACAUCGGAAUCUACUUUUUCGUGGGGGAUAACGUAGGGAAACUUACGCUAAUACCGCAUACGACCUACGGGUGAAAGCAGGGGAUCUUCGGACCUUGCGCGAAUGAAUGAGCCGAUGUCGGAUUAGCUAGUUGGCGGGGUAAAGGCCCACCAAGGCGACGAUCCGUAGCUGGUCUGAGAGGAUGAUCAGCCCCACUGGAACUGGACCACGGUCCAGACUCCUACGGGAGGCAGCGGUGGGGAAUAUUGGACAAUGGGCGCAAGCCUGAUCCAGCCAUACCGCGUGGGUGAAGAAGGCCUUCGGGUUGCAAAGCCCUUUUGUUGGGACAGAAAAGCAGCAGGUUAAUACCCCGCUGUUCUGACGGUACCUAAAGAAUAAGCACCGGCUAACUUCGUG